AUGGAGGCGUUCACGGCCGCGAUGUGCAGGCUGCUGUCUCCUCCGGCUCCGGCCGAGUGCAUGCGCGCCAUCAAGACCCUGCUCCUCGUCUUCUUCCCUGAGUCGGACCCUCACCUGAGAUCCAUAGGCCGUGCCGUCGAGGACGUUGUCACCCGCGGUGAGACUGAAUGUCUUGAGUUUUACAUACACUCGACAUGUGCGAAAGAAGAUGGCGGGGUGCGUACCCAGUCCGCGAAGGAGUUCAUGUCCUUCUCCUGUGCCUGCCCAGUUGCGUUCCGGUGGCUCACCGCGCUAAUUCUCACACAACUUGUGUUCGGAGACACCGAUGUGGCCGACAUCAUUAGGGCUUGCGAUAACCUCAAGCACCUCACCUCACCCUUAGAUUCUGCACACUGGUAG
rnacentral:rRNA from 1 species